rnacentral:misc_RNA from 1 species
CCGGCCUCGAGGAGCCCCCACGCCGCGCUGAGCCGCCGGCGCCCCGCCGUCCAGGGACCGACGGAGCAGUGCGGUGCGCGGUAACAUGUGGCGUUGGCUGGGCUUCGGGCUGUUGCUGAGCGCCGAGCUCAGCGUCGUUUCCGUCGUGGGUUGUUCUGGUUGUGGAAAAUGUGACUGCAGUGGAGUAAAAGGACAAAAGGGAGAAAGAGGCCUUCCGG